GAAUAUGCGACCUCAGAAUUUGGAUGGAAAGCUGAGCUGAAAUAUGUUGAUGGUAUAUAUUUCCUUCAGUGGUGGCCCUACCCCGAAAAAAAUGAUUGUAACAUUUUAAUGAGGAAAAAUAACUACAUAUUAAUGGAAAUUUGGAGGCAGCCUACACCCUCAACCUGUUGCCAGCCAGCCAGCCAAUCACAGCACAAUACACGCAACCUGCAAUUCUUCCAUAUUGAGGAUGAAACGAUGAGCGUUGGAGAGCUCACCAGCGCCAACCUACCUGACUCGCUUUCAUUGGGCCUCUGUCUGUCCCGUGGUCUGGGUGACCUCUGAGCG